rnacentral:rRNA from 1 species
CCUACGGGAGGCAGCAGUGAGGAAUAUUGGUCAAUGGUCGGAAGACUGAACCAGCCAAGCCGCGUGAAGGACGAAGGUACCGAGCAUCGUAAACUUCUUUUGUCAAGGGACAAAAGCAGGGACGAGGCCCCGGCCGAGGGUACCUGAAGAAAAAGCAUCGGCUAACUCCGUGCCAGCAGCCGCGGUAAUACGGAGGAUGCGAGCGUUAUCCGGAUUUAUUGGGUUUAAAGGGUGCGUAGGCGGGCUGUUAAGUCAGCGGUAAAAGCCCGGGGCUCAACCCCGGCCCGCCGUUGAAACUGGCUGUCUCGAGAUGGCGAGAGGUAUGCGGAAUGCGCAGUGUAGCGGUGAAAUGCUUAGAUAUUGCGCAGAACUCCGAUUGCGAAGGCAGCAUGCCGGCUGCAAUCUGACGCUGAGGCACGAAAGCGUGGGUAUCGAACAGGAUUAGAUACCCGGGUAGUC